rnacentral:lncRNA from 10 species
AAGACGCAGGGGUGGACAGGUGUGUCCUGCCCAUUCCCUGGGAGAUGGCAGCUUGUCAUGCAGGGUCUGGAAGAAGGAGAAGGAUGCCUGGGGAGAUGCCUUGAAUGUCAAGUCCGGAUGUUAACCUUUAUCCUGCAGGUGACAAGGACUGGAACCAGUGGGUGAAGCAGGGAAGAGCAAUGAGGACAAGGCCACAGAGGACAGUCAGGAACUCCAGGAGAAGAGAGGAAGCACUGCAACCAGGGGCUGCUCCUGCUCCUGGAAAGGCCCUUCCUACCCUGAAUGAAAGAGAAGGAUGCCUGGGGCAGCUGCUGCAGGGAAGGCCUCAAACAUCAAGUCCGGGUGUUAGACCUUUAUCCUGCAGGUGACAAGGACUGGCAACCAAUGGGAGGUGGAGCUGGGUUUUUUGUUUGCUUUUUUUUUUGUUUUAGAGACAAUAUCUCACUCUGUCGCCCAGGCUGGAGGGCAGUGACGUGAUCAAACUGCAGCCUCGACUGCCUGGGCUCAAGGGAUCCUCCCACCUCAGCCUCCUGAGUAGCUGGGAUUACAGGCUAUGCCACCACGCCUGGCUAAUUAUUUUAUUUUUGUGGAGAUAGUGUCUUGCUCUGUUGCCCAGGCUAGUCUCAAACUCCUGGCCUUAAGCAAUCCUCCCACCUUGGCCUCCCAAAGCACUGAGAUUAAAGAUGUAAGCCACCAUGCCUGGCUGAACACAUAUUUUCUAAACACCAUUUGGUACCCCUAUUCCAAGCCAUUCCUCCUCUCUCAACCCUCAGGGUGCAAGAAGUGGAUGACCUUUGACCCUCAUGCUCCACAGGGGUUUCUGGUUUCCAUCCAAUGCAGGAAGAAGAAUCCUGUGUCCAGACCCACAUCGAUGCCUGAAGGUCCCAUGCAACCAAAGCAGGGUCCCACCCAGGACAUGAUUCAAUAGGAAAAGCACUGGGUGUCCACUUUGUGCCAGCCCACUGGGAUCGUGCAUCCACAAGAGGGUCUUGGCCAUGACACCUUCUUCGCCACCAGGCC